GUCUCCAUAGCUCAAUUGGUAGAGCAACACCCUUUUAAGGUGCUGGUUCCGCGUUCGAGUCGCGGUGGAGACA
rfam:Parcubacteria group bacterium RIFCSPHIGHO2_01_FTLL_45_26 rifcsphigho2_01_scaffold_13902, whole genome shotgun sequence.